rnacentral:rRNA from 1 species
ACAUUUUCUACCUAUGUGUCUUGACCAAAUCNCGUGCCAGCAGUCGCGGUAAUACGUGGAAGACUAGUGUUAUUCAUCUUUAAUGGGUUUAAAGGGUACUUAGACGGUAUAUUAAGCCCCUAAAGGGUACUAAUAUUCUAGAGUUUUAUGAGAGGGGGGGAGUACUAAAGAGUGUAGAGAUGAAAUUCUGUCAUACCUUUAUUGGAACAGGUAACGGCGAAAGCAACCCUUUAUGUAAUAACUGACGUUGAAGGACGAAGGCUCAGUACACCAACAGGAUUAGAUACCCUAGCAGUCUGAGCAGACAAUGAUGAAUGUCAUAGAUUAGAUAAUUUAUAUUAUAUAUAGCUAAUUUUCUCUAUAAAUGAAAGUGUAAGCAUUCCACCUCAAGAGUAAUGUGGCAACGCAGAAACUGAAAUCAUUAGACCGUUUCUGAAACCAGUAGUGAAGUAUGUUGUUUAAUUUGAUGAUCCACGGAAAACCUCACCACAAUUUGAAUAUUUUUAUUUAUAUAUCUAUACAAGAGUUGCACGGCUGUCUUCAGUUAAUGUCGUGAGACUUUGGUUAGCUCCAUUAAAUUAACGUAAACCCUUACUUUAUUUGUUUAUAAAGUAGCUCACCGCUAUAUUGAAUAUGAUAACAGGGACUAAGACAAGUCAUCAUGGCCUGAAUAUUGUGGCUAU